rnacentral:misc_RNA from 1 species
ACGUCAUCCCCACCUUCCUCCGGUUUGUCACCGGCGGUCUCCUUAGAGUUCCCACCAUUACGUGCUGGCAACUAAGGACAAGGGUUGCGCUCGUUGCGGGACUUAACCCAACAUCUCACGACACGAGCUGACGACAGCCAUGCAGCACCUGUGUUCGAGUUCCCGAAGGCACCAAUCCAUCUCUGGAAAGUUCUCGACAUGUCAAGGCCAGGUAAGGUUCUUCGCGUUGCAUCGAAUUAAACCACAUACUCCACCGCUUGUGCGGGCCCCCGUCAAUUCCUUUGAGUUUCAGUCUUGCGACCGUACUCCCCAGGCGGCGAACUUAACGCGUUAGCUUCGAUACUGCGUGCCAAAUUGCACCCAACAUCCAGUUCGCAUCGUUUAGGGCGUGGACUACCAG